rnacentral:rRNA from 1 species
CAGUCGCCGCGGGAAUACGUAGGGUGCGAGCGUUAAUCGGAAUUACUGGGCGUAAAGCGUGCGCGGGCGGUUCGUUAAGACAGAUGUGAAAUCCCCGGGCUUAACCUGGGAACUGCAUUUGUGACUGGCGAGCUAGAGUAUGGCGGAGGGGGGUAGAAUUCCACGUGUAGCAGUGAAAUACGUAGAGAUGUGGAGGAAUACCGAUGGCGAAGGCAGCCCCCUGGGCCAAUACUGACGCUCAUGCACGAAAGCGUGGGGAGCAAACAGGAUUAGAUACCCGGGUAGUCCCUGUCUCUUAUAC